GGCUGCUGUUAUUAAACAGAGAGAAAAAGCCUGGCAAACAAUAGUGGACCGACUGAAUGCAACAAAUGUGACUGGGCAAAAAUGAACCUGGCAACAAGUCAAGAUCAAAUAUAAAAACUGUUUGCAGGCUGCAGUUAGAAGACUCAUUUGUCUGGCACUGGGGGGGGGGGGCACCAGCUCCAGACUUCACCCCAGCUGAGGAAACGGCCCUUGACUUAAACCAAGGAAGGCCUGUGAUGGAAGGGAUUCAGGGUGGGACAGCUAUAGACUCUGAUUCACCUGCAGAAACUGCCCUCUUCAUACGAGGUACAUUUUCCAGUACUGCACAUCAAACAACCAUUUAUGGGCAUAUGUGGACUGUCUGACCUUGUGUCUUGCAGUGUCCGGCGACACAGUCACUCUCAUGCCACCAGAC
ensembl:lncRNA